rnacentral:lncRNA from 1 species
CCUGACUGACCCAGUGCUUCCCUGCGUGGUCCUGCAUGGCGUGGUAUGUCCCCUCCUCUAGGGAACUGAAAUUCAUCAUGCAAUGGCCUUCAACCCAUCUGAACAUUUUCUCUGGCUACAGAAAAUGCCUGGGUCGUGCCCCGAAAUGAAUCUUCUUUUCAAAGAGAAACGGUAGGAUUUACAGCCUACUCUAAAAGCCACCUUCGUCUACCACAGGCUCAGCCAUAAAGCAAGUCUCAGUAGAUUCAAAAGAAUUAAACUCAUACCAACCAUACUCUCAGACCACAGUGGACUAAAAUUAGAAAUCAACACCAAGAAGAUCUCUCAAAACCACACAAUUACAUGGAAAUUAAAUGACCUGCUCCUGAAUGACUUUUGGGUAAACAAUGAAAUUAAGGCAGAGAUCACAAAUUAUUUGAAAUAAGUGAAAACAGAGACAUAACAUACCAAAAUCUCUGAGAUGCAGCAAAAGCAGUGGUAAGAAGAAUGUUUAGAGUGCUAAAUGCCUACCUCAAAAAGUUAGAAAGAUCUCAUAUUAAUAAUCUUAUCACCACUCCUAGAGGAAGUAGAAAAACAAGAUCAAACCAACUCCAAAGUUAGCAAAAGAAAAGAAACAGCUAUAAAAUCAGAACAGAACAGAACAAAAUUGAGAUCCAAAAUCCAUACAAAGAAUCAAUGAAACCAAAAGUUCAUUAUUUGAAAGGAUAAAUGAGAUUAAUAGACCACUAGCUAGAUUAAAAAAGAAAGAGAGACGAUCCAAAUAAGCACAAUCAGAAAUGAUGAAGGUGACAUUAUAACUGAUUCCACAGAAAUAUAAAAUAUCUUCAGAGACUAUUAUGAACACUUCUAGGCACACAAACUAGAAAAUCUAGAGGAAAUGAAUAAGUUCCUGGAAACUCACAAUUUCCCAAGAUUCAAUUAGGAAGAAACUGAAACCCUGAACAGAACAAUAUCAAGAUCUGAAAUUGAAGGAGUAAUAAAAAACCUACCAACCAAUAAAAGCCCUGAAAAGAUGGAUUCACAGCCAAAUUCUAUUAGAUGUACAAAGAAGAGCUGGUACCAAUCCUGCUGAAACUAUUCCAAAAAAUUGAGGAGGGACUCCUCUCUAAUUUGUUCUUUGAAAUCAGCAUAACACCAAUACCAAAACCUGGCAAAGAUACAAUAAAAAGAAAAUGUGGCACAUAUACACCAUGGAAUACUAUGCAGCCAUGAAAAAUGAAGAGUUCAUGUCCUUUG